AGGACGAACGCUGGCGGCGUGCUUAACACAUGCAAGUCGAACGAUGAAGCCCUUCGGGGUGGAUUAGUGGCGAACGGGUGAGUAACACGUGGGCAAUCUGCCCUUCACUCUGGGACAAGCCCUGGAAACGGGGUCUAAUACCGGAUAACACUCCUGCCUGCAUGGGUGGGGGUUAAAAGCUCCGGCGGUGAAGGAUGAGCCCGCGGCCUAUCAGCUUGUUGGUGGGGUAAUGGCCCACCAAGGCGACGACGGGUA
rnacentral:rRNA from 1 species